rnacentral:rRNA from 1 species
UACGGAGGGGGCUAGCGUUGUUCGGAAUUACUGGGCGUAAAGCGCGCGUAGGCGGACCUGCAAGUCGGGGGUGAAAGCCCGAGGCUCAACCUCGGAACUGCCUUCGAUACUGCGGGUCUCGAGUCCGGGAGAGGUGAGUGGAAUUCCUAGUGUGGAGGUGAAAUUCGUAGAUAUUAGGAAGAACACCAGUGGCGAAGGCGACUCACUGGACACGUAUUGACGCUGAGGUGCGAAAGCGUGGGGAGCAAACAGG